rnacentral:rRNA from 1 species
UACAGAGGGUGCAAGCGUUAAUCGGAAUUACUGGGCGUAAAGCGCGCGUAGGUGGUUUGUUAAGUUGGAUGUGAAAUCCCCGGGCUCAACCUGGGAACUGCAUUCGAUACUGGAUAGCUAGAGUUCGGCAGAGGGAAGCGGAAUUUCCGGUGUAGCGGUGAAAUGCGUAGAUAUCGGAAGGAACAUCAGUGGCGAAAGCGGCUUCCUGGACCAGAACUGACGAUCAGGCUCGAAAGCGUGGGGAGCAAACAGG